rnacentral:lncRNA from 1 species
UUAAAGUGGAUUGAUCCAAAGUUCAAAGUAUAGUAUUUAUAGUGGAUUGAUACCAAGUUCAACCCACAGAGGAUUGUAAAAGUAUAGGAUGUAUAGUGGAUUGAUCCCAAGUUCAAAUAUGGGAUUUAUAGUGGAUUGAUCCCAAGUUCAACCCACAGAAGAUUGUAAAAGUAUAGGAUGUAUAGUGGAUUGAUCCCAAGUUCAAAUAUGGGAUUUAUAGUGGAUUGAUCCCAAGUUCAACCCCCAGAAGAUUGUAAAAGUAUAGAAUUUAUAGUGGAUUGAUCCCAAGUUCAACCCACAGAAGAUUGUAAAAGUAUAGGAUUUAUAGUGGAUUGAUCCCAAGUUCAACCCUCAGAAGAUUGUAAAAGUGUAGGAUUUAAAGUGGAUUGAUCCCAAGUUCAACCCACAGAAGAUUGUAAAAGUUUAGGAUGUAUAGUGGAUUGAUCCCCAGUUCAACCCUCAGAAGAUUGUAAAAGUAUAUGAUUUAAAGUGGAUUGAUCCCAAGUUCAACCCACAGAAGAUUGUAAAAGUUUAGGAUGUAUAGUGGAUUGAUCCCAAGUUCAACCCUCAGAAGAUUGUAAAAGUAUAGGAUUUAAAGUGGAUUGAUCCUAAGUUCAACCCACAGAAGAUUGUAAAAGUAUAGGAUUUAAAGUGGAUUGAUUCCAAGUUCAAAGUUUGGGAUUUAUAGUGGAUUGAUCCCAAGUUCAACCCUCAGAAGAUUGUAAAAGUUUAGGAUGUAUAGUGGAUUGAUCCCAAGUUCAACCCUCAGAAGAUUAUAAAAGUAUAGGAUUUAUAGUGGAUUGAUCCCAAGUUCAACCCUCAGAAGAUUGUAAAACAUUGUCUUUCCUUUAACUCCAGAUAAUCUAUUUACCUUUUUUUAGGACAGAUCGAUAAAAUUGGUCAAAUGUGGAAACUUACCAAAUAUGGUAUUAAUAUAAGUAUCUGCUUGUACAGUACACAUUAUAAUUCUUUAUCAUAUUACAUUGUACGUUAUACAUUGUAUAUGUGUUGUGAUUUAUUAACAUGUAUAUAUUUCUAUUUAUUUGUUCUUAAAAUUAUGCAGUGUAGUUAGAGCUUAUUAAGUGCUUCAUCUGUUUACAAUAUACCUUUAUUCUGAGCAUUUGUAUUGUGUUUAUACUAACAAUCAGAGUUAUGUAUAAGAACACACUGUAUCCCUGCCUGGUCUGAAUAUCAGGAUAUCAUAACAAUUGUGAGGUCAUAAUCUGAACGUGGUUAUUGAUUGAUUCUGACUAUUGUCUUCUCCAUUUAAUGUCUACCUCAGCGUUAAAGUGUUGUAGCCUUAAAACCGCUAUGUAAUUCUUAUAUUUGAACCAAAUACAUUUAAACGGAUUCAUACUUGCCAACUUUUUAAAAUUUCCAUGGGGGAGAUUGCACGUGCUCAGAAUUAAAAGCAUAAAUAAAAACUAUGUGUGUAUGUACACCCUAGGGGGAAAUAACACUUGUAAAGGACAUCUUUUGAGCUGUUCUUUAAGAUGAAAUCAUCAAAACUUAGAAAAAAGGAAUAGUUUAGGAAAUUCACUGGUUGAAAAUGCUCAAUUUUAGUGUCCCUCUUAAAUAGGGAGAUUUGGGAAGUAUGCGGAUUUUGUAUUUUUACAGUACUUGUAUGUUGAAAUGAAAAGGCGAAAAACGAGCUUGUGAAAAGAGAGUUGUUGAAAAGUCAGUGCUUUGUUUCAGGGUUAUAGAAACAGUUAUCUGAUCGUCAUGCAAAUGUUGGUCAUCAUGAUCGUGCUUUACUUACUCUGUUGAAUGUCCAGUUUAUGAUAUUAUUAUGAAUUUCAAAUGUUUUUGUACAUUUAACUUAACUCUAUUCUUUGUUAGUUUUCUUCCAGCAUUCAAUGUAUGUUAAGAUAUUUUGUAUACGGCAUUCAACAUGUAUCCGACAUCUUUAAGUUUUAAAUGGGUUUUGCAAAAAUCGUUGGAUGGUAAAUAAGUACGUAUAUAUACUUGUGAAGACAAAUUGACCUUGAGAAGGCAACUAGCUUAGUAAGGUAAGAAUUGAAAGAAUUUAUGUAAGAUUUUGUUUCUAUAUUAUCAUGAACCCUGACCACUGUUGUAUACACAAAAUGUUCACAAUUUUUAUUUAUCUUUAUUAAAUAUUUCUUACUGCAGUU